UGCCAGGAAUGGGAGAUUUAGCAAGUUUCCAAGUUCCUCAGACAAUUGGAAAAUGCCCCAAGCCCCUUCUGCAGUCGAUGUCCUCCCGAGGAUGAUGUGUCACCAUGUGAAGACUGAUCACAGAAAGGACAAAGCAAUUCUGAAACUCAUCGGAGAGGGAAAUGUUUUGAUACAAGCGGGCUCUGCAGGGUCCAGCCACGGUCGGACAGGAGGAGUCUCCUCCUUCUCCCACCUUCCUUUUCUUUGCUCUGACACAAACCUGUCCCUGUCUCCCCAUCUCUGAGAGUCAGGCACCCACAUUCCUUCGUGCACAGGGAAGGAAAGA